GACGUAGGGCGCGAGCGUUGUCCGGAAUUAUUGGGCGUAAAGAGCUCGUAGGCGGCUUGUCACGUCGGGUGUGAAAGACCGGGGCUUAACCCCGGUUCUGCAUUCGAUACGGGCUAGCUAGAGUGUGGUAGGGGAGGUCGGAAUUCCUGGUGUAGUGGUGAAAUGCGCAGAUAUCAGGAGGAACACCGGUGGCGAAGGCGGAUCUCUGGGCCAUUACUGACGCUGAGGAGCGAAAGCGUGGGGAGCGAACAGG
rnacentral:rRNA from 1 species